rnacentral:rRNA from 1 species
UACGGAGGGGGCUAGCGUUGUUCGGAAUUACUGGGCGUAAAGCGCGCGUAGGCGGCUUUGUAAGUUAGAGGUGAAAGCCCGGAGCUCAACUCGGAAUUGCCUUUAAGACUGCAUCGCUAGAAUCAUGGAGAGGUUAGUGGAAUUCCGAGUGUAGAGGUGAAAUUCGUAGAUAUUCGGGAAAGAACACCAGUGGCGAAGGCGACUAACUGGACAUGUAUUGACGCUGAGGUGCGAAAGCGUGGGGAGCAAACAGGG